CAAACUUGUGAUUUUAGCUGCCACAACUAAAAGAAAAUGAAUCAUUUAAAAAGAACAAUGAAAAAGGAGGUAGGCUUAAGGUUAUAUAAGGUAAUUUAUGUUGGUCAUACAAAGAAAAACCAGCUUCAAGAUUAGUUUAUCCUCCCAUGGCAAAGGAGCUACGCUAAUUUUCAGUGUCACGCAGUUGUUUGGAAUUGAUUGCAUAAACACCCUCGUUCUUAAAACCUAGAUUGUGAUAGUUUAUUUUCAUUUUUCACUUUCCUCUAUUUGAGAGAAUGUAUUCCUAGCUUGAAAGUUGGAAAUUUGCCGACAAAUUGUGCAAGUUAUGCAUCGAUUUUCUCAAUGGCCUCUCCUCUUUGGAUAUCUAGAAUGUGCUUGAUUUUCUAUUUUAGUAGAUGCAGAAGAGGAUGCCCCUUUCUACAGUUCUCAAAACAACUUAAACAGAGAGCCCUUUUGUCGAAUAACAGGCAUAGCUCGAAGAACAUCAUACGCCUGCAUCCAUUUCAAUAAAAUCAAAUUGCAGUGUGUCGGUUGAACAAACUCUGGUCUUCUUUGUUGGCUUAAUCUGAAAACUUUUGGAACCUGGGGUUUAAUGGCUCGAUGUGUUUGAAGCUCUGUUGUUUGAUUUGGUAAUUAUAUAUUUUGUAGAAAAAAGUGAUUAUGCCAGCAGUGAACGGGAUGCUGAACAUCAUGAGGUCUUGCCUCAAGGUAAAGACAAUGAGGUGUGUAUUUUUUACUUCAUCAGCUGGCACGGUUAACAAUGAAGAACAGGCAAUAAGGAAAGGGCAGUGUAUGAUGAUGAGUGCUAGAGCGACAUUCAGUUCUGCAGGACCAAGAAGAUGACAGGGAGGGUAAUCUUAGCAGCAAUAAUCAUGUAAAGUUGGAACUUCUUGACAUGCCAUAACAGCAAUUAUUGAUUGUAGCCUCAUCUCUUGAAAUUUUGAUUAUUCUAAUUGUAUUUGUUUCCUUACUCCUUAUCUUUUGUUAGUACGAUCAUCAUAUUGUAGGAACAAAAAGAAGUAGCAAUGGCACACACACACACACACACAAACACACACAUAGAGAGAGAGAGAGAGAGAGAGAGAGAAUUUGCGAAUUGAGGUGGGAAGGGAGAAGCUUCCUUGAGGAGAAACAUGCUUUUGCAGCCUCCAGAAUUCUUCUUGCAGGGGAGUGGAAAAAGUUGGGCGGCUAUUGUUCUCUUGCUAUUACGUGAUUGAUUUUUAUCUUGUCCUUGGUAUGAAUCUCACCUUUCCACUCCAGUAGAGAAGAUUCCAUGCAAAAGGGUGCAAAGUACAAGGGCUGGAAACACUAGUUUUUUCUUUUAUGUUUAUUUAACAUGAAAUUAUUGCAGUUGCAUUUGGGAUGAAAGAUUUUUUUUAUUCUAUAAAAUCAACAGGUUUCCUUUUACAAUGUUGCUUGCAGAAGACUGUGAAGAUGGUUUGGAACUAGGUAGAAGCUAUAAGGGUCGCAUGUGUGUUUAUUAUGGUGAUAAUUUUGUGGUUGGCUCCUUGGUCAUUUGGUGUACUUGGAGCUAUGGAUUCUAGCAAAGGUAUACAGGGCACUGCUUACUUCUUCGGUUGUGGUGUAAAGUUUCCUUUGCAGUCAAUUAUUAAUCUCUUCAUGAAUUGAAGCAUGUCCAAGAACUUUGUAUGUAAUGGAGUUUAUUUUGAUUCUGCCAAUCGGUUUAUAUUGGACUGGUGCAUCCCUUUAUAAUAUGUUUCCUGUUGUAGUGUUGGGAAUGGAGUUCUAUGUACUUAUUCAUGGCGGUAAAGGACUACCAACACCUUUUAGUUGAUUGACUUAUAAUAAAGUUGCAUUAUAGGUGCUAAUAAACAAAAAAAAUGAGAGGGUGACCAGCUUCUCAUCGGCCUUGUUCUUUUUGUGUUUAGUUUUUGUUCCUUAUGUAAAGAUAAUUAUCAUUUUUUGCUAGAAUUUUUUUUUUGUUGACUUUUGUACCAGAGCUGUCACGUGAGGAUAAAUUUGGUCUUUGGAGCUGACAUACUUGAGGCUUUGGCAUCAAAUUGAAGAAAUCAAGAUUAUCCCCAUCAGCUUAGAAGAUAAAGGUGAAAUCUUAUUCCAUGUACUCGAGACCGUGACAUGUAGAGUGUGACCCAAUCUGCUCUCUCAACUCUCUGGUUUGUAUAAUAUGACUUGACCGGCUCUAAUGAAACCAAAGAUGGACGAUUUGGUGGUGCACUCUAUGUAUCCAACAUACUGUAUGUUGUGGCAAACUACUCAUCUUGUUCUUCCAACAACUAUUACUGACGUUGCUACUUGCUCUAACAUUUACUUUCUUGCUCUUGCUUCUUUUCUCCCCUAGCAUUUCUUCCUCCAAUUUCAUUAACUAUGUUGAUAUAUUGUUUCUCCAAUGAUUGCUUCCAUACUUCCACUUCAUCUAUUUCUUUGUGGAGUUUCUUUUUGCUGGUAACUAUGGGUUUGACUUACUCAGCUUUCAUUGUCUGGCUGAUUGUUGAUGCAGAUAAACUACAUUAGUAAAUUAAUGACAUGAAUGGAUGAUCUUUUACUCUCUUGGAUACCAUGUUUUCUGCGCUUAGAAGACUUUUGAACAGUCAAACCAACACUGAAAGUAUCAAAUGAUGGCGCUGAUAAAGGAGCAUUCUUUCACCGAUUGUGCUCUAGUUAACAGACAGGAGCCAAUAUUCAUAUCCCAAAAUUGAUUUAUAUGCUGCAAAAAUGUCAACCUUUAUCUUAAGAAUUAAGUGACUUCCGAAGUUGAAGAUUUAGAGACUUGUGGAUCUCCAUGUUCUCUAGAGAAUCUGUAAAUUAUAUCAAGUUCAUCUCUAGAGUUUGAAGAGGCACAUAUUGGCGGCCUCUAAUGAUUAAGAGAUGGCAUUCAUUGCCAGUUCUCUUGAACCUUCUCAUGUUGGCUUCUCUAAAUGCAAGUUUUGACUAGGGAUCCAUCCAUUUAUAUUUCCAAAAUGGUGCUGAUCUCUGCUAGCUCAAUUUUAUGCACUUGGGUCAGUGUGAAGUUUACAACUUGUAGCCUCCUGAGAUGGGCUCAAUCCAUCUAAAGCUUCAUGCUUGUGGCGCUCCGCUUGUGGGAUCGCAUCAUGUGCAGAGCAUGUGAUUUUCUAAGGCAAGUUGUAUUGAUACAACAUGUGGAGGACAUACUGAUAGGGGAAAUAAGGUAAAAUAUGCCAUGACAUCUUUUUG